rnacentral:rRNA from 1 species
GACGAACGCUGGCGGCGUGCUUAACACAUGCAAGUCGAACGGAAAGGCCCUGCUUUUGUGGGGUGCUCGAGUGGCGAACGGGUGAGUAACACGUGAGUAACCUGCCCUUGACUUUGGGAUAACUUCAGGAAACUGGGGCUAAUACCGGAUAGGAGCUCCUGCUGCAUGGUGGGGGUUGGAAAGUUUCGGCGGUUGGGGAUGGACUCGCGGCUUAUCAGCUUGUUGGUGGGGUAGUGGCUUACCAAGGCUUUGACGGGUAGCCGGCCUGAGAGGGUGACCGGCCACAUUGGGACUGAGAUACGGCCCAGACUCCUACGGGAGGCAGCAGUGGGGAAUAUUGCACAAUGGGCGGAAGCCUGAUGCAGCAACGCCGCGUGCGGGAUGACGGCCUUCGGGUUGUAAACCGCUUUCGCCUGUGACGAAGCGUGAGUGACGGUAAUGGGUAAAGAAGCACCGGCUAACUACGUGCCAGCAGCCGCGGUGAUACGUAGGGUGCGAGCGUUGUCCGGAUUUAUUGGGCGUAAAGGGCUCGUAGGUGGUUGAUCGCGUCGGAAGUGUAAUCUUGGGGCUUAACCCUGAGCGUGCUUUCGAUACGGGUUGACUUGAGGAAGGUAGGGGAGAAUGGAAUUCCUGGUGGAGCGGUGGAAUGCGCAGAUAUCAGGAGGAACACCAGUGGCGAAGGCGGUUCUCUGGGCCUUUCCUGACGCUGAGGAGCGAAAGCGUGGGGAGCGAACAGGCUUAGAUACCCUGGUAGUCCACGCUGUAAACGGUGGGUACUAGGUGUGGGGUCCAUUCCACGGGUUCCGUGCCGUAGCUAACGCUUUAAGUACCCCGCCUGGGGAGUACGGCCGCAAGGCUAAAACCCAAAGGAAUUGACGGGGCCCCGCACAAGCGGCGGAGCAUGCGGAUUAAUUCGAUGCAACGCGUAGAACCUUACCUGGGUUUGACAUGGAUCGGGAGUGCUCAGAGAUGGGUGUGCCUCUUUUGGGGUCGGUUCACAGGUGGUGCAUGGCUGUCGUCAGCUCGUGUCGUGAGAUGUUGGGUUAAGUCCCGCAACGAGCGCAACCCUUGUUCACUGUUGCCAGCACGUUAUGGUGGGGACUCAGUGGAGACCGCCGGGGUCAACUCGGAGGAAGGUGGGGAUGACGUCAAGUCGUCAUGCCCCUUAUGUCCAGGGCUUCACGCAUGCUACAAUGGCUGGUACAGAGAGUGGCGAGCCUGUGAGGGUGAGCGAAUCUCGGAAAGCCGGUCUCAGUUCGGAUUGGGGUCUGCAACUCGACCUCAUGAAGUCGGAGUCGCUAGUAAUCGCAGAUCAGCAACGCUGCGGUGAAUACGUUCCCGGG